GGAGAGGUCGCAUAGUGGACUAGUGCGCUCGCCUGGAACGCGAGUAUGGGUAACACCAUCGUGGGUUCGAAUCCCACCCUCUCCGCCA
rnacentral:tRNA from 1 species